UACGUAGGGUGCGAGCGUUGUCCGGAAUUAUUGGGCGUAAAGGGCUCGUAGGCGGUUUGUCACGUCGGGAGUGAAAACUCGGGGCUUAACCCCGAGCCUGCUUCCGAUACGGGCAGACUAGAGGUAUGCAGGGGAGAACGGAAUUCCUGGUGUAGCGGUGAAAUGCGCAGAUAUCAGGAGGAACACCGGUGGCGAAGGCGGCAUCCUGGACCGGUAUUGACGCUGAGGCGCGAAAGCUAGGGGAGCAAACGGG
rnacentral:rRNA from 1 species